CAUACCCUCUCAACAGCUAGCCCCCCUCCUAAAUUCAACAAACACCAUUAAUAACCCCAAAAUCACAACAAAUAGCAAACAAAUCAUUUUACCCCCUUAGUAUGGGAGACAGAAAAGGAGAAUACAGGCGCUAUAGAAAGAGUACCGCAAGGGAAAGCUGAAAGAGAAAUGAAACAACCCAGUAAAGAACCAAAAAGUAAAGAUCUUCCCUUGUACCUUUUGCAUCAUGAGCUAGUUAGUCCCUUCGAGCAAAGUGCACUUUAGUUUGAAACCCCGAAACUUAGCGAGCUACUCCAAGACAGCCUAUUACAGGGCCAACCCGUCUCUGUUGCAAAAGAGUGGGAAGAUCUUUGAGUAGAGGUGACAGACCUACCGAGCCAAGUUAUAGCUGGUUGCCUACAAAAUGAAUAGAAGUUCAGCCUCUUUGAUUCUUUUUUCCUCCAUGGCAAAGCCCAAAUAUGAUCAUAAGAAUUCUAGGGAGUUAUUCAGAAGGGGGACAGCCCCUCUGAACAAAGACACAACUUUUAUAGAAGGCUAAAGAUCAAAAGACCUUAAAGCAACAUACCUUGGUGGGCCUAAAAGCAGCCAUCCACGAAGAAAGCGUUAAAGCUCAAGUAUAAAGCUCCUUAUAAUUCAGACACCCUUAUCUUAAGCCCCUAUAUUUUUAGUAGGCCCUUCCAUGCCACCAUGGAAAAGACACUGCUAGUAUGAGUAAUAAGAGGGCUAAGCCCCUCUCCCUGCACCUGUGUAAAUCAGAACGAACCUGCACUGAGAAUUAACGUCCCCAAUCAAAGAGGGCACUGAGAAGAAAACCUUAAACAAGCAGACCUCUCAUACAUCACCUGUUACCCCCACACAGGAGGUGCCCAAGGAAAGACUAAAAGGAAAAGAAGGAACUCGGCAAACAUUGGCCUCGCCUGUUUACCAAAAACAUCGCCUCUUGCACCCCAAAGUAUAAGAGGUCCCGCCUGCCCUGUGACUUGAUAGUUUAACGGCCGCGGUAUUUUGACCGUGCGAAGGUAGCGUAAUCACUUGUCUUUUAAAUGAAGACCUGUAUGAAUGGCAUAACGAGGGCUAAGCUGUCUCCUUUUCCCAGUCAAUGAAAUUAAUCUUCCCGUGCAGAAGCGGGAAUGUGCCCAUAAGACGAGAAGACCCUAUGGAGCUUUAGACAAAAGGCAGCCCACACUGGGACAACUACAUUAAAAGGACUACCCUAGUGGAUCCUGCCCUCUUGUCUUUGGUUGGGGCGACCACGGGGGAACAAAAAUCCCCCGCGUGGAACAGGGACUUUUCCCUUAAAGCCAGAGCGACAGCUCCCACGAACAGAAUAUCUGACCAACAAGACCCGGCAAAGCCGAUCAACGGACCGAGUUACCCUAGGGAUAACAGCGCAAUCCCCUUUUAGAGCCCAUAUCGACAAGGGGGUUUACGACCUCGAUGUUGGAUCAGGACAUCCUAAUGGUGCAGCCGCUAUUAAGGGUUC
rnacentral:rRNA from 1 species